GAUCCCGUAGCUCAGUGGUAGAGCAUCUGACUUUUAAUCCGAGGGCCGUAGGUUCAAGUCCUACCGGGAUCAC
rnacentral:tRNA from 1 species